AGAAUCAACGCUGGCGGCGUGCCUAACACAUGCAAGUCGAACGCGAAAGGGGAGCAAUCCCUGAGUAGAGUGGCAAACGGGUGAGUAACACGUGGGUGACCUGCCUUCGAGUGGGGGAUAACGUUCCGAAAGGAACGCUAAUACCGCAUGACAUCCUGCUUUUGGAAAAGCGGAGAUCAAAGCUGGGGAUUCGCAAGAACCUAGCGCUUGAAGAGGGGCCCGCGCCUGAUUAGCUAGUUGGUGAGGUAACGGCUCACCAAGGCUACGAUCAGUA
rnacentral:rRNA from 2 species